AUCCAAAAUCUACCGUAUUCAGAAUUCAGAAUACUGGAGGCAAUAUAUCUGGGAAUCUGUGACCUGAAAGUUUUGCCGCAUUUGGGAACCAUAAUUCUGAAGCAAAGUGGAUUCAUUUGGACAAACCUGAAGUGGGUAGCUGAGUUCUAUGUUUGGGCUGAUAAUGCAAAUCUGGAUUAUACUGGGAUGCUGGAAUGGAGGACAGAGGAUAUCCUGAAAGUAUAAAGCCCUGAGAAUAAUAAAA
rnacentral:lncRNA from 1 species